rnacentral:pre_miRNA from 1 species
CCUGCACCGGUGGGGUCCCUCGGCCUGGCCUGCACCUUCUCGCAAUCCAGGACCCCUCAGGUGCUAUUGGCGAGACAGUUUUGGCCCGAUCCCUGCAGGCCAGGCCGAGGGACCCCACUAGUGCACG